UACGUAGGGUGCAAGCGUUGUCCGGAAUUAUUGGGCGUAAAGAGCUCGUAGGCGGUUUGUCGCGUCUGCUGUGAAAAUCCAGGGCUUAACCCUGGACCUGCAGUGGGUACGGGCAGACUGGAGUGCGGUAGGGGAGAUCGGAAUUCCUGGUGUAGCGGUGAAAUGCGCAGAUAUCAGGAGGAACACCGGUGGCGAAGGCGGCGCUCUGGGCCGGUACUGACGCUGAGGAGCGAAAGCGUGGGUAGCAAACAGG
rnacentral:rRNA from 1 species